GUGGCAAUGCCAGAAAAUGCCCUGCCUGUGUCGCUAGGAGGGUCAGAGAUGCCUGUCCCUUCCUCACCCUUCCCUAUGUCUUCCCUGCCAGAAACUGCAGAGGAGCUGGAUGAAGCCAGAGUAGAUAUAAGAGAAUCGUUCGAAACGGUCUACCGAAUGCAGAUGCCCUGAACCCGGCACUUAGAGGACCGAGGGACUUGGAAAAGUCACCAGGAGCUGACCGCAGGAAUUAGCGAGGGAGAGAGGUCAACAACACACCGAUGCAAUGAGGUGUCCGAAGCCCUGGAUUAGAGGGAUUCGCUCCAGAGCCGUGAGGCUCGAGGCGGCUGAGUUCAGAGGUGCCUGGAUUCCAAGUGGGGAGGCUGGGGAACCCUGCAGGAUGCUUCUGAGGCAGAAGACUGGACCCAUCUGGUGACAACAAGUUAAAGAGGAAGAAGAGAGAUGGAGUGAUGUCCGUUUCCCCAAAGGAUGAAUCAACAGGUGUCAGCGGCACACUGGUGGACUGAUUCGCCACAACCAUCAUUCCCCUGGGCUGAGACGCAACAACAACAACAACAAUCCCUAGCUGAAAGGUAGAGGUUCCAAGCCACUGAACCUGUUAUUUUAUGCUGUGGCUGCUCCCUGUACAACAGGGUCUGGUGCCACCCUGGGAAGCUGAGAGAGGCACUUGGUAGUCCCCACUGGAACCCGAGAAGCAAUUCAGAGGCUUAGCGCCCCCGCCCCGGUGGCAAUGUGCUGCGGAAGCCCUGCCCAUGCAUGCCUGGGAGAACAAACAGGGAAAGAAUCCAAGAUCAAGUUGUCCUUCAUCCAUUCAACCAGUGCUUACGAAGGAUCAGCUCUGGGCAAAGCACGGGCAAGCGUAUGGACAUAAACUCUAAGCAUCUAGGUCUCUAGACGCUGGAAGACUUUGGGAGACGUUUCCCCUCAUCUGCAAACGCCUUGUGCCUCGGCCAUAUUUGCAUCCCGAAUAGCAUAAGAGGAUUUGGUCUGGGCUUCACGAAUGGACGUGCGCGCGAAGGAAGGAGUACUUGAAGGGCCACCGAGGGAGGCUGGAGGACUCAGAGACACCUCCUGGAGAAGCUGAGGUGGGGCAGAUGAGGCCUGAGAUGGACAGGGUGGAGCAGAACCACGCAGUGGAGGGUUGAAGAUGAACAGCCUACAGCCUCGGUCUGUCGGGGGCUGGGGGGAAGGCGGGGGAGCUGCUGCUGAUUCCCUCUCUAUGACUCAUAGACUCGGCCAAUGUGGUCGUCUUACGUGAUCUUCUUGACAAGCCCCGGCCCUCUGAAUGGUGACAGAGAGAUUACUGUUAGCUCUACCGUGGUUUAAACAGGCUUCAUUUUGUUGAACAUUCCCUGAAGGCAAUGCUCCGAAUCUGGGGACAAUUACUCAGUCUCCCCAUCGCCUCCUGCUCUUUUCGAAGACGGUGAGGGGUGUGUGGCGUGCAGAGGGAGGGGUUCACUCGGCUUUGGGGAAGAAGCAUUUAUAUCGUCCUUGAGCCCUCCCGUGUGGCCUCAAUUCCGACACUCUCCACUUGGAGACAGCUCGGAUUCCACAGGGUGAGGGCUCAGCCCUACAAGACCACCCGUCGCCCCUCACCCUCAGGCACCUCCAGGUUGUCCCCUGUUCUCCUGACCAACUGACUGCAGAUUGGCGGUUCCCGUGACCUUCUCAGGGUCUGUUAACUGGCUCCUAGAACGCAGAGAAACAUUUGAGUCAUAGAUCACCAGUGUAUCACAAAAGGACACAACUCAGGAACGUCCAGAUGGAAGGGAAGAGACGCACAAUGUGUGGUGUGUGGGAAGGGCGGGGAACCUCCAUGCCCCCUCCAGGUGCGCUCCCCCCCACCCCGUAUCUCCACGUGAUCUCCAGCCUGGAAACUCUCCAAACUCCGUCCUUUUGGGGUUUUGUGGAGGCUUCAUUACAUACCCAGAAUGGAUUAAAUCAUUGCGUGUCGCUGACUGAUUCGA